CACGUAGGCACCAAGCGUUAUCCGGAUUUAUUGGGCGUAAAGAGCUCGUAGGCGGUUCGGUAAGUCGGGUGUGAAAACUCUGGGCCCAACCCAGAGAGGCCACCCGAUACUGCUGUGACUAGAGUGCGGUAGGGGAGCGGGGAAUUCCUGGUGUAGCGGUGAAAUGCGCAGAUAUCAGGAGGAACACCAGCGGCGAAGGCGCCGCUCUGGGCCGUAACUGACGCUGAGGAGCGAAAGCCAGGGGAGCAAACGGG
rnacentral:rRNA from 1 species